rnacentral:rRNA from 1 species
GACGAACGCUGGCGGCGUGCUUAACACAUGCAAGUCGAACGGAAAGGCCCUGCUUUUGUGGGGUGCUCGAGUGGCGAACGGGUGAGUAACACGUGAGUAACCUGCCCUUGACUUUGGGAUAACUUCAGGAAACUGGGGCUAAUACCGGAUAGGAGCUCCUGCUGCAUGGUGGGGGUUGGAAAGUUUCGGCGGUUGGGGAUGGACUCGCGGCUUAUCAGCUUGUUGGUGGGGUAGUGGCUUACCAAGGCUUUGACGGGUAGCCGGCCUGAGAGGGUGACCGGCAACAUUGGAACUGAAAAACGCCCAAAACUCCAACGGAAGACAACAGUGGGAAAUAUUGAAAAGUGGCGGGAAGCCUAAUCCAAAACCCCCCCGUGCGGAAUAACGACUUUCGGUUUAAAAACCACUUCCCCCUUUAACAAACCUUGAUUAACGAAAAUUAAAAAAAAAACACCGGCUAACUACGUC